UUGACAGGGAUGAUAUGACACAGAAAAGAAAUCAUCCGGGUAGGGGUGGUUGGAAGCUCUAAUGUAGCUGGUCAUGGGAAGUGCAGAGAAACCUGAAAGGAAAAAAAAAUCUCCAAACUACAUUACCAGCAAUCUUGAUUGAAAAAAUAUCGUAAUCCAUUACCUUCCUCUUAUUAAAGACCAACUAAUAGUAAAAACAUGGUUGAUUGAAGACAAAUAAAAAAGAAUGAGAAAACUGAGGGAAAAUAAUGUAUCGAAUUGCGAAAAGAAAGAUCCCACAAGAGAUCCAACUCGAUAUAUUCAAUAAUAUGGAUUGAUAUAGCUGGUAACAUGAACCAGUAUCAAAUCAUUACGCACUUCAUUCCGAUUAAUAAUUGGAUGUGCAAAAUGGGUGAAACAAACAAGAUCUAUAAAUGUUAAGAGAACAACUUUGUAAGGAAAACCAUACCACGCCAACUUUGUAAGUAAAAAUGACAUUUUCAAGUUUUGUACCAAUUUGACAAUAUGAAUACACAAUGAUAUGAAAAUGCUUAAAGAAGUAAAUUUUGAUCUGACCUCUAACUGUUAGAUUAAAAUCUGAUCAUAAAACAAAACAUUAAAAAACACGUAAUAAAAUCAACAAAUAAAAUUGAGAGACAAAAAAAGAUUAAAUAAAUUAGGGUUUCAAAUAUAAAAAUAAAUGUAGGGAAAAUGAUUGUUGUGAUUUUCAACUUUAAAAAUGAAAAACAACUGCCCAUUUUCCCAAAUUAAUAUUGCUAGGGAACACUUUCGGAAGAAUGCAUUUGAUCAUAGCAAAACACCGAUACACACUAUCCCUGCUUGUUAACAAAACAUCAUCUAUUUCAACAAAUAUUCAUUUACAGCAUAAUUAAAAUGAACACCUCAAACCUAAUGAUCGUAUCUAAACAAAACAAGUUACAAUAUUUUGUUCACCAAAAAAUUACGGUGAAAAACUUUGUUCAAAGAAUAAAUUUGAAGGAAACAAGUUAAAAAGUAAAAACACCUCAAUUGCAAGAGGGAGAAACAUGCACAAAUGAUAGAAUUGAAAAACACAAAACAUAGGAAUAAUCCAAACUCCAAGCACAUUUAAAAUCAAACAUUUAUUUAGAGCAAAUAUAAAAAUGAAAUCCUCAAAGCUAAUGAACAAAGCAGUAGGAAGAUAGAUAGUAAUGCUCAUAUAUCAAAACAAAACAAAUUACACUAUACUACUACGUUGCUUUGCUGAUCGAAAUCUUUUUCUGCGCUUCGAGAGUAACAAUUCUACCACUGAUUCAUGUUAAAUUCGUAAUGAUCCAAGAAAAGCAAAUCUAAAAAAUCUAUUUUCCACUGCCUUUAUGAACAUGAUCUCUCACAGUGGCAUCAGAGCCUGGUUAAAUACAUUGUCUUUAAAGAAGCAUUCAUUGUUUAUUAAAAUUGUAAAAUGAGAGAUAAUUUGGAUUUAACUAGAAUGAUAUAACAUAAGGUCAUAUGUAGAAUCCAAAUGGAGCAGAAGCGAGCACAUAAAAAUUGUCACUUCUGUAACGAUGGACUCAUUAAUCUCCCAGACUAGUAACUGCAUCAACCAUAGUAUGUUGAGGAUGAGUCAUGACUAAAGUCUGGAGACAUUAACAAUCACAAAUUCACAAUAGGCAACUGUAUUCAAAAUAUUUCAUAUUUAUCCAAUUAAUAGCUGAAAGAUGGUAUCAGUAUCACAAUAGACAUUAGACACUCAAGUUUCAAAAUGAACUGAACUUCCAAAAUCAAAAUCAAGAUAUAGAAGAAAAACCAAAAUGCCGUAACCUUUACAUGGAUAACAUAUUACAAAACCCUGAAAGAUCAGAGGCUUUGAUGUAGCUGGUCAUGGGAGGGGCUUUGAUGCCCCAACCUUACAAUUAUUGGAGGUAGAGAAACCUGAAAGAUUGGAUUUGGAGGCUCUAAUGUAGCUGGUCAUGGGAGGUUUAGAGAAACCCAAAAGAAAAAGAUCUCCACAUUACAGUCCCGACAAUCUGUGUAAAGUAUAUCAAACCCCAAUCAUUCCUCUUAUAAAAUAAUAACAGAUAGUUAAAGUAGUUGACUGAAGAUAAAAAAAAAAAAAAAAAUAGGAAAACUUGUUUUUGAAUCGGCAAAAAUAUAUUGCGACUACUCAUACCCAAGAACAAGUUGUACUCGGACAAGAGCCAUGCAACAACAUGGAAAAUUCAGAGUCAAGACACCCCUCAGCCUUACACCAAAACUAACUUUGUAAAGAAAUUUAUACACCGAACCCAAGUUCACUUCGUGCAUUAUUAAAUUAACACAGGACCAUGAUUAAAGCCAGAAAAUCUGAGUAUGCAUCAGAAUAAAGAGAAAAAAAAGAAUUAGCAUAACCCUUCACUUUUUAAAAUAUAUACAAAAUAUAAACAGGGAAUUAGUAGCAGUAGGCUUAUAUUGAAGAAAACCCAUGUGUCACAAGACCCGUAAAAGUUCCCUGUAUGCCCCUGAAAACGAAAUGUUCGGCUACAAGACAAAAGUCCGAAUUCUGGACAUCAGAUACCAUAUCCAAAUAUACACAAAAGUUAAGAGCAAAACAAAAAAUGAGAAAUAAAAAAUGCAUAAUUCAAGAAAUCUGAUGUGAGUUAUGAAUGGUUUCAAAAACUUGGAAGAGAUCAGAUGGUAGUGCAUGUUUGUUUCAUCAUCUAUAACAGAACCGUUGGAUAAAUAUCAUCAUAUCUCUUUGCAUUUCAUGUAAACAUACUAUAUUUAAAAGUAAAUCAUCUUUAGGUUUCAAAAAAAAAAAGUAAAUCAUCUUUAAAUGAACAUAUGCUAUAUAAAAAUCUAAAUGGCAAAAUUUUUAAAAACAAAAAUAGUAAAAAACAUGUCAUCAAAGUUAAAUAAGACUGGGUAUAAAAAACAUGUCAUCAAAUCAAAUACUCAAUGGGUUUGUCAAAAUUAGGGAGGCACCGCAAUUUUGUUGAAGCUCUAAAAAGUAGCUUUUGCAAAUUGCAACUAUGUUUUCGCCAAAUUCAACACAAAAACACAGCAAAAAAAAGUUAAUUUCUUAAAACUAAAACAAAAUUUAUUUGAUAUUAAAAAACUACAAUCUGGAAGAUGAGAUCAGAUAGUCGAUCUUUCACCAAGUAUGAAAUUCACAGUAAGACUGGACGUCACAUUUAAAGAUGUUAUCCACAUAUCCCUAUGUAUUAAUGUUGCAAACUGNNNNNNNNNNNNNNNNNNNNNNNNNNNNNNNNNNNNNNNNNNNNNNNNNNNNNNNNUGAGUAUAAUGAAAUUAACACUUUAAAAUCUAAGAUAAAAUAACAGGAUCAGAUAAUAAGUCAGUCACCAUGUUACACUUGAAAGUGCAAAUUAAGACUGGGGCGACAAUUACUAUCAUCACAUCCAAUUUUUUGCGAAUUUAUUAAGUUAUAUCAAAGAAUGUAUUCAAUAAUUCAAUAGGCAGAAUUAAAAAAAAAGUGAAGAUGUAAUAACAGAUUAUUCGAAAAUAAGUCUUGUUAGUAAUGUUACCACUUAGAAUUUACAAAAUUACUUCGCACAGAUCAUGAAUAAUACUAACAGAUAAAAUAGGAUCGGAAUUUGAAUGAGUGAAGAGUGGUUUCCCAGAGUAAUAUUACCAUGUGAUUCAUUUCUGCACAUGAUUGGAUGAAAAUAAUACUUACAUCGCAAUCAAACAACACAAAAAUUGCACCAACAUGUUAUCAAGAACCCAAACCUUUGAUAUAGAAUCUAAAUGAAACAAAUACAAAUUACUAUGAUUAUUGUUUAUUCAAAAAAUAGUAAAGUAACUAAAACAUAAAAAUAGAGAAAUAUAUCUAUAUACCUACAAAGUAUAUUCAUAUUAUAUGUUUGUUGCAUUUUUCGAAGAAAUAUAUUUUGGAGUUUAAAUAAACAAGUUUGUUGCAUACACAGACAGUAUACCACUAAUUGUGAUCAUUUUUGGCAUUAGUAUACUAACCCAAAAAAGGGAUAUAUUGUAUGUGUUUAUAGUAAAUCUGUUUACCUUAACUUUAAAAUGUAUUACUGCGAAAAGUGCAACAAAUGUUAUUAUGAAUUAGGAAUAUAUCUUAUAUGUAAUAUUUCUUUAAUUUUCAAUGUUUAUGUUUCAUGCAUAACAUUUUGUACAACCAAUAAUAUCAAUAAUUGAUAUAGUUUCACUUAGAUAUUAUUAUCGAGAUUCUAUCUAUUGAUUAUAAUUAAUGUGUAGCAUUUGUGCUAUUUGAUCGUGAUGUAAGUCUAUGUUUCAACAAAUAAUGAGUAAAAAUGCUUAAAACACAUGAAGGGAGUGCUAGCAACACUCUCUAACACUCACUUUCUAAUUGAGUGAGAGUCAUGUGGGUCUCAUCACAUUUUGCUAUAGAAAACUUCAUGUACACUCCAUUUGGUUGGAAGGAAAGAAAGUGUGAAGGAAGGAAAACACGGAAACCAAUGAGUGAACUUAAACUACAAUUUAGACCAAGUUCAUUCUUCGGUUUCUGUAUUUUCCUUCCUUCCCAUUUCUUUUCUUCCAACCAAACAGAACCAUAACAAGCGAACAUAGUUGAGGACAUAGAACUGUAGAGUCCAAAUGGAGCAGAUGCAAGCACAAAGAAAACUUCAUCUGUAACGAUGGACUCGUUAAUUUUCCAGACUAGUAACUGUAUCAACAAUGGUAUGAUAGAAGGACACAUGACUUAAGUCUGGAGUCAGUAAAGUAUAUAUCAGAGAACCAAAAACUUAAAAUGCAAAACAGAAAAUAAAAUAAAAUAAAAAAACGCAGUGAGUUCUAACUAUUUUAUAUUUAUCCAACUAAUUGCUGAAAUAUGGCACCACAAAAGACACCAAUUAUACAAAAUGAUAUAAACUUCAAAAAAAAUAAAAUCCAAAAUGUUCCAACCUUGACAGGGAUGAUAAGAUACAGAAAAGAAAUCAUCCAGGUAGGGGUGGUUGGAAGCUCUAAAUGUAGCUGGUCAUGGGAAGUGCAGAGAAACCUGAAAAAGAAAAUUUCCACACUACAUUACCAGCAACCUUUGUUGAAAAACUAUCAUAAUCCAUUACCUUACUCUAAUUAAACAUCAACAGAUAGUAAAAACAUGGUUGAUUGAAGACAAAUAAAAAAGAAUGAGAAAAUUGAGGGAAAAUAAAGUAUCGAAUUGCGAAAAGAAAGAUCCCACAAGAGAUCCAACUCGAUAUAUUCGAUAAUAUGGCUUGAUAUAGCUAGUACCAUGAACCAGUAUCAAAUCAUUACACACUUAAUUGCAAUUAAUAAUUGGAUGUGCACGUAUCAUGACACACUGCUAAACCAGCAAAAUGUGCAUCUUCUGAGUGAAUCAUGACUCAGGACAUGAAGAGAAUCAAAGUUCAUACCUCAACAAUCAAUUUCAUUUUAUGAAUUAGAUUAUGAAAACAUUAACCCAAAAUGAGUGAAACAAACAAUAUCUGAGAACAACUUUGUAAAAGAUUAACAAAAUGGGGGUUGUAAAUGUAGGGAAAAUGAUUGUUGUGAUUUUCAACUUUAAAAUGAAACACAACUGCCCAUUUUCCCAAAUUAAUAUUGCUAGGGAACACUUUCGGAAGAAUGCAUUUGAUCAUAGCAAAACACCAAUACACACUAUCCCUGCUUGUUAACAAAACAUCAUCUAUUUCAACAAAUAUUCAUUUAGAGCAUAAUCAAAAUGAACUCCGCAAACCUAAUGAUCAUAUCUAAACAAAACAAGUUACAAUAUUUUGUUCACCAAAAAAUUACGGUGAAAAACUUUGUUCAAAGAAUAAAUUUCAAGGAAACAAGUUACAAAGUAAAAACACCUCAAAUGAUAGAAUUGAAAAACACAAAAUGUAGGAAUAAUCCAAACUCCAAGCACAUUUACAAUCAGCGCAAGAAGCCUAACUAAUUCCAUCAAACAUUUAUUUAGAGCAAUUAUAAAAAUGAACUCCUCAAAGCUAAUGAACAAAGCAGUAGGAAGAUAGUAAUGCUCAUGUAUCAAAAGAAAACAAAUUACAAUAUAAUUGUAACAAUUGUUCCUAAAAACUCAAGGAACAUUGUUCCUAAAAACUCAAGGCUCCUACACAAUCUUUAAUCACAUCUUUCAACAAAUAAAAUACAAACAAACUCAACUACAAGUUUUGAAGUAUCAACACAGACACAACACAUGUACAUCAACACCAAUAAUAAUUUAAAAAUAAAUAACCUUUUCGGCAUCCAUCUGUAUGAUACCCAGACACACAUAAUCCAAGAAGGGUAGAUAGUUUACAAGAGGUGGAAAAACAAAAAACUUUGAUAACUAACUACUUUGACUCCUAGAUUGAGUUAAUAAAACUAUGUGGGCAUUGUAAAGAAAAUGUACCAUUAACACCUAGGUAAACAAUGAAAUUUUGUUUCCUUAGCAAACAAAACAUGGCAUCAAUGGACGUGAAGAUGAUAUUGUCAUCCUCAGACACGAGAAAGUCAAGUAUGAAUAACUAGCUCGCUGUAAAGAUGACAAUUUCAAGAUCUAUAUAUGUUAAGAGAACAGCUUCUCUUUUAUAAAUAUAUGUAAAAAAUAUAAACAGGGAAUUAGUAACAGUAGGCUAAUAUUGUAGAAAACCUCUGUGUCGCAAGACCUGUAAAAGUUCGAUGUAUGCCCGUAAAAACGAAAUGUCCAGCUACAAGACAGAAGUCCGAAUUCUGGACAUCAGAUACCAUAGGCAAAUAAAUACAUAAAGUGAGAAAAAAAGGCUUAAUUCAAGAAAUCUAGAGACAUAUGAAUGCUUUCAAAAAACUUGCAAGAGAUCAGAUGGUAGUGCAUGUUUGUUUCAUCAUCAAUAACAGAACCGUUGGAUAAAUAUCAUCAUAUCUCCUUGCAUUUCAUGCCAAAAAACUAUCUUUAUUUAAAAUUAAAUCAUGACUAAACAAAACAUAUGCUAUAUAAAAAUCUAAACAAAAUCAUGACUAAACAAAAUGGCAUGAUUUUUCAAACAAAUUUAGUAAAACACAUGCCACCAAAUGCAUGUGUGAUUUUGCAAAAGCAAUGAGUGUAGCUUUUUCAAUAUAAUUUUUAAGAGGAAAACAAAUGGAACCCAAUGUAAAUCAUUUUUAAGGGAAAAAUCUAUUUGAGAUUAAGAUUCAAACCAAAAUUAUGGAUAGAGAAAAAGAUGUUCACUCAGAGUUACAAAAAGAUCAAAAAAUUAACUUCCAUAAUGCAUCUGCCUUCUAGUCACGGGUUCAAAACAUCUGCAAAUAUAACCAAAAUGCAAAAAAUAAGCAUGUAAUUACACGGUAAAUAAAUUAGAAUAAGAGGAUGAUAAUAUUAUCAUCUUACAAUUUUGGUUAUUCUGAAGUGCACUAACUAACAUAAAAUGGUAAAUUCUACCAAAAAUUCACUUGGCUAUUAAUAUUUGCAGAACUAUUCACAGUAGAAAUGCAUUUUUUUUAAAAGCCAAGAAUAACAACAACAAAAAAACAAGCAGGGUUGCUUAGAUAACCAGGUACCAAUUAUACAAUCAUCAAGAUCAAACAAGUAAACAACAAAACCAAACGAAACACUUUUACCAAAACUAACGUCUAAGCCAAGAACAAACAGAACCUCUAUCUUACUGUUACUAUGCACAAAAGAAAUGAAAUUACAACAUUUUGAAAAAGGAUUCAGGAAAAAGGGAAAUUAUAAACCAAUCAUAUUGGAGAACAUCUCCAUGGAUAAACAAAUAUGCUCGAUCAGAAAGGGUUUUAGCUGGACAGAAUACAGACAACAUAUGGUAAAAACUGGACCAGAAAAAAUUGAAACUGUAAGCCAAUAUCAUUGGAGAACAUCUCCAUAGAUUUAAAGAGAAGCCUCAAGCAGAAAGGCUUUACACUUGAUAUACGCACAGAUAAAAUCCUGGAAACAAUUUUUGCUAACAAGAAGAACUAAGUGCGAUUUACUUUUUUGCCAGAAAAUAAUAAAAAGAUCAAUUUUCAAGUAAUGUACAGAUUACAUGGAUUAUUUAAGGAGAUAAGUUAUGAAUACAUUUGAUAAGUUAUGGAUUAUCUGUGAGCCAAAUACAUUGGAGCGCAUCUCCAUAGAUAUAAAGAGAAGUCUUCCAUUUGUAAAACACAUGCCAUCAAAUGCAAUGAGUGUAGCUUUUUCAAUAUCAUGGCUCGCCGUGAUUUUUCCAAACUCACCAAAAUCCAAACAUACACUAAAUCUAAACAAAGACAACAAAAAAAAAGUUAUUUUCUUAACUAAAACAAAAAUUAUUUGACAUUAAAAAAUUACAAUCGGUAAGAUGGGAUCAGAUAGUCGAUCUUUCACCAAAUAUGAAAUUCACAGUAAGACUGGACGUCACAUUUAAAGAUUUUAUCCUCAUAUCCCAAUGAAUCAAUUAAAACAAAAAUAAACAAACACAAGCAAAAUUUAAUUAAUUUGAGUAUAAUGAAAUUGAAACUAAAAAUUAUAAAACUAUAAUUAGAGGAUCAGAUAAAAAGUCAGUCACCAUGUUACACUUGAUAGUGCAAAUUAAGACUGGGGCGACAAUUACUAUCAUCAUAUCCUCCUCAUAAUAAUCAUGAAUUUAUAAAGUCAUAUCAUAGAAUGUAUUUGAUAAUAAUUUGAUAUAAUAGAGCUUGAAAUUAACUUACAGAAAAUGAGAUUGGAAUUGGAGAAAGUGAUGAUGGAGAAAUUCUUACAUUGAUUUGAGAUUGGAAUGAAUUAUUUGCUGGUAGAAACAAUUGGUGCAAUUAGGGUUUGUGUUUGGG
rnacentral:lncRNA from 1 species